rfam:Suillus luteus TH-Slu-Lm8-n1 unplaced genomic scaffold CY34scaffold_217, whole genome shotgun sequence.
AGCAGCAUGACGCAGUGGAAGCGUGCAGGGCUCAUAACCCUGAGGUCACUGGAUCGAAACCAGUUGCUGCUA